rnacentral:rRNA from 1 species
UGAGGGAAUAUUGGGUCAAUGGACGGAAGUCUGAACCAGCCAAGUAGCGUGCAGGACGACGGCCCUAUGGGUUGUAAACUGCUUUUAUGUGGGAAUAAAGUGAGGGACGUGUCCCUUUUUGUAGGUACCGCAUGAAUAAGGACCGGCUAAUUCCGUGCCAGCAGCCGCGGUAAUACGGAAGGUCCAGGCGUUAUCCGGAUUUAUUGGGUUUAAAGGGAGCGUAGGCCGCCCCUUAAGCGUGUUGUGAAAUGCCGCGGCUCAACCGUGGCACUGCAGCGCGAACUGGGGGCUUGAGUGCACGCAACGCAGGCGGAAUUCGUGGUGUAGCGGUGAAAUGCUUAGAUAUCACGAAGAACUCCGAUUGCGAAGGCAGCUUGCGGGAGCGCAACUGACGCUGAAGCUCGAAGGUGCGGGUAUCGAACAGGAUUAGAUACCCUGGUAGU